rnacentral:tRNA from 1 species
UCCCAGGUGGCUCAGUGGUAAAGAAUCUGCCUGCAAUGCAGGAAACCUGGGUUCUGUCUCUGGUUUGGGAA